GUUCCCGUAACUCAGAGGUAGAGUGAUGUUCUUAUAAUGCAUAGGUCGCGAGUUCGAUCCUCGCCGGGAGCA
rnacentral:tRNA from 1 species